UUAUUUUUUAUAUUUUUAUUAUUUUAUUUUCAUUUAUUUAUUUUAAUCUUUAUUUUUGUUCUUUUGUAUUUUAUUUUCUUUGUUUUCAUCCUUGUGUACUGUUUGUAAUUACUUUGUUAUUCUCUUAAUAAUGAUUACUGUUUGCCCGGACCUUCUCGGGUUGGGCCCGGGCCGACUCUGGCUGCGGACCGACGCGGCUGGGACCAGUUGCAAUGCGCUUUGGUUCCCUUCUCUCUCUCUCUCUCUCUCUCUCCUUCCCCACCCUCCCUGUCUAACUAACCACCCUGACCUACAACCUGACCAACUUUCUCUUCAGCUACUAACACCCAGUUUAAACCUCUGAGUAUAACUGGUUUUCCCCCCUUUAUUAUUAUUAUAUAUAUAUAUAUAUGUGUGUGUGUGUGUGUGUGUG
rnacentral:lncRNA from 1 species